rfam:Xanthomonas albilineans GPE PC73 complete genome
AUGUACUGCCUGUAGAUUGCGUUUCCUACGCGCUGUCAACGCCCAUCCGACACAGACUCGCGACGUUUUGUUAGCC